UGGGGAAUAUUGCGCAAUGGGGGAAACCCUGACGCAGCGACGCCGCGUGCGGGAUGAAGGCCUUCGGGUUGUAAACCGCUUUUGAUUGGGAGCAAGCCUUUUGGGUGAGUGUACCUUUCGAAUAAGCGCCGGCUAACUACGUGCCAGCAGCCGCGGUAAUACGUAGGGCGCAAGCGUUAUCCGGAAUUAUUGGGCGUAAAGAGCUUGUAGGCGGUUCGUAGCGUCUGGUGUGAAAGCCCAUCGCUUAACGGUGGGUUAGUGCCGGGUACGGGAGGGAUAGAGUGUGGUAGGGGAGACGGGAAUUCCCAGUGUAACGGUGGAAUGUGUAGAUAUCGGGAAGAAAACCAAUGGCGAAAGCAGGUCUCUGGGCUGUUACUGACGCUGCGAAGCGAAAGCGUGGGGCGCGAACAGG
rnacentral:rRNA from 1 species